rnacentral:rRNA from 1 species
GAAACCAGUACUUGGGUACGCGUCUGUGCGGCGUGCAAGUGCGCUCACGUAACGGCUAAGAGCGACGCUUGGGAGAACGUUCUAACUUCCCCAACGUGUCCACAUCGAUGGUGAGGUUUGUAACGUUGAUGUGGGCUAAUCACUUCCUAGGGCUGUAGUAGGUCCCAAAGGUUGAGCUGUUCUCCCAUUAUAGUGGUACGCGAGCUUGGUUCAGAACAACGUGAGACAGUUCGGUCCCUAUCCGUCGGUGGCGUAGGAAAUCUGAGAAGUCAUGUUCUUAGUACUAGAGGACCGGGAUGGACGUAGCACUGGUGCAACAGAUGUAUUGCCAAGGGCAUGGUUGGGUAGGGAGGAAAGUACCGGGUAAGCGCAGGAAUCAUAGAAGUGCGAAGCAAACUUCAAGAUAAGAUUUCCCACAUCAAGGGUGGGACUCAAGAAA